ACAUACUCGGCGCUCGAAAAGGCUGGAGGCUCAUCAGUCCAAAUUGUUGUAUCGGAGACUGGUUGGCCAUCAGCUGGAGGACAAGCGACAUCAAUAGACAAUGCCAGGACUUACAACAAUAACCUGAUCAAGCAUGUCAAUGGGAAUUCUGGAACCCCAAAAAGGCCUGGAAGGGCUAUUGAGACUUACAUUUUUGAUUUGUUUGAUGAAGAUCAAAAGAGUCCAGAAUAUGAGAAGCAUUUUGGGCUCUUUCUUCCAAAUAGGCAGCCAAAGUACCCAAUCAGUUUCUAACUAGAUUGAGGAAUCAACUGUAUGACAGGAAUAAGGACAGAUAGACUCCAUCUGCUGUCUCUCCUGCUUUUAUAAAUUGUCAUCUCAAAUAAGGGUUGCUCUAAUAAUUUCUAGCCUUGGCAACGUAUGUGUGAACAAACACAAAUUUUUUGCUGCUGGAGCAAUUAAAUGUUGGUAGUUGCUAAAAUGUUUUACUACAUGUUUAGUUUCUAAACAUAGGUUAAUUACGAAAAUUGCUUGGAAUGGAUUAACCUAGACCAUCAUAUGAUCAUAACCAAACAAACAUCCAGCUACCUAAGUUUUUCUCCUUUUUCUUUUGUUUCAGGUUAGAGCUAUCAAAAUUUAGCAAGCAAAUGAGAAAAAAAAAAAAAAAAAGGUUUUGGUUCGUAGUAUCAGCAGUCAUAAUCUAGUUCUGCGUGUUUCAGUCAGCUUAAUUAGUCUACCGUAUGUUCAACUAAUCUUUCCAGUUCAUGGUUUCUCAUAUUUGUAUGUGACAUGCAGAUAUAGCAAGUUGCCAAAUUAGAACUUAGGAUUGAUCCAUUAUUGACAGUAAAAGUGUCAAAUAGCAAGAUCAUCAUAAAAAAAAAAAAGAAAAAGAAACCAUCAUAAAAAUAAUGUUUAGUUAAAUAUGAAUACUGAAAAUUUAAAAAUAUACAAUUAAACUAGUUUUUUUUGUUUGUUUGUUUGGUAUCACUUGUAAAUAUUGAGUAGUUGUAAAUUCUAAUUUGUUUAUAUUUGUUUAAAUAGUAAAGGUACUAGAUUAUAUGCGCCUUUUAUUGUGACAGCUGACAAGCGCAUCAUAAAAUAAAUAGGCAGUCUAAGUCACGCCGCCGCAAGGAUCGAACACUCGCUUCGUGCAGUGUUGAAAUUUUUUCAGACGAAAUGUUUGCAGCAAGAAAGGGGAGAGGCAAAUUAUUUUUCUAUAUGUGAUAGGUCCAUCGCCACCACAUGACGACGCUCAUAACGUUUUAAAAAUAAUCUAUUUUAUCCCCUCUAGUUUCAUAUAAAGUAAAAAUUUAAUAGAAUAUAACCUUUACGAUGUUAAUAGUUUUUUUUUUUUUUUUUUGUCAAACUUCAGCUGUAUUAUAUAAAUACGAUGUAAAAAUUUAAUAGAAUAUAACCUUUACGAUGUUAAUAGUUGAAAUAUCAAUAUUGUCCUCGUUUAAACAUUGAGUCGGACAUUGACCUAACCACUUUGUACAAAACUAUUGAAGGGUUAUGGAAAUAAAUAGAAAAAUCACAGAGAGUUUACUGGGUAUUAUAAUUUUGUCUCACGUAUUAUUUGUUUUACCGUGUUUAUUCAAUCGCCAUAAUCGUUGAUGCUUUUCAUCAUUUUUUACUUUACAUAGAACUACAGAGGGGUUAUAUCACUAUUUUGAAGGUUUAAGAGAAUUAUCUUACAUUAUUCAAAACCACAGCGAGAGUUAUGUGUAAAUUUACCCUUGUUCUUGAAAGCCGUAGAGCACUACUAAAUAAAAAGUCCAAGCAACAAGACUUAGCUAAUCUGAUUAUGAUACCGAAACAAACCAAGAACAACUAUUGGAACUUGUAAACUUGAGUUUAGUAAUCGGACGUGAUGUUCCAUGCCAUCCGAGACCCUCAAAACUGAAGUAGUCAAAGAUGGAGUACCAAAAUAGCCAAUAUAGUGAUGUUGACUGCUGAGUUUAUUAUUUCCUGUACGUAAAAUUAGUCUUGUACAUUGAACUGACAUGAGAAUACUGAAUUCAACUUUCACCAAAAAAACUUCUCAAAAAAUUUGCCUGCUACAAGCUUUUUUUAACAAUUUUAGUUACAAUAAUUUCUCAAAAUUUUUAAACGAUACACUUCAAAAUAUUCAAAAAUUUUCGAUUUUUACUCAUUAGCGAGUUGCAUGGUGAAAAUAUUUUUGAUUAGAUUGAUAGUCUAACAUUGAUUUAGGGGAUGAUGAUUGAUGAGGAUGACACUACUAAACACAAGCAUUUCUUAAAUGCACUUUUCUAAGAGGGAAAAAUUCUGUAAGUUCUUUUUGGCAUUUUUAGCUUUAGUUCCAAAUGUGAACUGAAAGGACAACUUCACGAGGCUUGAUGGAGCUGUAUUAGAUUAUACAUGGAUAACUACUCAGUUCUAGAAUAUACAAGGUGGCAUGGUCAAGACUGAGGACGGCAUGCAUGUUACCUGAUCAAAUGGCUCGCAAAUAGUAAUAACAAUAAUGUAAUCGCCAGUUCGGGUUUAAAUGCUCAAUUGUCCAUUUCCACUAUAUAUAUAUAUACUCACUAUUAUCCAGUCUACUUGAUAAAAUUUGCGGUGAAUUUGCAAGAAUGGGUGAGGCAAGUGAGGAGGUAAUUCUUUUAGACUUUUGGACUAGCAUGUAUGGCAUGAGGGCAAGAGUUGCACUAGAAGAAAAACAAAUCAAGUACGAGCACAAACAAGAGGAUCUAAUUGGCAACAAAAGUGAGUUGCUCUUGAGGAUGAAUCCAAUUCACAAGACAAUCCCGGUUCUGAUUCACGAUGGAAAACCCGUUUGUGAAUCCCUCAUUGCAGUGGAAUACAUUGAUGAGGUGUGGAAAGGUAAGGCUUCACUCUUGCCUUCUGAUCCUUAUGAGAGAGCUCAAGCCAGGUUUUGGGCUGAUUUUCUUGACAAAAAGGUAAGCAUGCAUCCUAUCAUCGGCAAAAUCUCUUUCAGCUAAUUUAAACAUUGCCACAAAUAUCAUUCCUGCCAUGUUGAUGAAAUUGAGUCUUAAUCUUUUCUGCGCUGACAGUGUAUGCAUUAGCAGGUAUAAAUAUACAUCACACGUCUAGAUUUAGGGGUUAAAAUUCCAAUUGAGAUUAUUUGUUGUGUAUCCAUGUACACACUUGUGGGAAAGAUGCCUUAAGAUGAUGAGAUAUAAUGUACUCCAAUUGCAGGUUUAUGAAUACGGUCGUCAAGUCACCUGGUCAAGAAAAGGAGAAGAGCCAGAAGCAGCAAAGAUUGGCUUGACAAACUCCAUUAAGACGCUGGAGGAGGAAGCCCUUGGAGACAAACCUUAUUUUGGGGGUGACAAGUUCGGGUAUCUUGACGUUGCUGUCAUUGGACUCUGCAGUUGGUUACAUACCUAUGAGAUUAUCUGCAACUUUAAUGCGGCGACUGAGUGCCCAAAGCUGGUGGCAUGGGCUAAGAGAUGCAUGGAAAGGGAUAGUGUCUCCAAGUCUCUUCCUGAACCCAAGAAGCUCUAUGAAGCCAUUUUGGGAUUUAAGAAGGUUUUUGGACUUGACUAAAUGUGAAGAAGAAUUAAGGGUUGUUGGAACUUUGUCCUGUGACAAUAAAAAAGAAUAUGCUCAAAUAUGUCAUUGUUCAACGUUUUUUUUUUAAUAUUACUAUGCCAUUUUGUGUUUGUAAUCCGUAAUCCCAAUUACAUUUUUGCGCUUAAUUUGAUGCAUCUAUGGAAGAACUAGUAAAUUCUUUCUGAUUUGUCAGCAGCAAUUUCUAUUAUUUUGAAACAUUGGCCAAGGACUAAUUAGGUGAAAGAAUAUUUUGAACUACUUUAUACAUACAACAAGUAGAGGAAUCAGCUAUGCAAAACUCGAAAGAGAAAAGAAAAGAGGAAACGAAUUCCUUUAAUACAUGUUUUCACUAAUUUCAUAGUUGUAAAAUUAUACAAUCACACUCCCACAGCAAGAUAAAUCCCCUACAAUUUUCAUUCCCAAUUGAAACAUAUACAAAUUAUUUUUGUUUUGCCAGUAAUAAACAGAGCGUUCACUCUGGACUUAUUUGCAACAUAAACUACACAAAGGAUUUUUUUAGUCAUGAGAAACGAAAUUGGUACUUUUGUUUCUUAAUCAAUCCCAUGUUUCUUCCUCAACUUCAAAGCAUACUCAUGAACCUUAUGAAAAUCAGCAAGGGACUUUGACACACUCGCCCUUUUCAUGCACCUUUUAGCCCAUGCCACGAUCUUGGGGCACUGCGUCUCUAUGUUGAAAUUUCCAAAAAUCUCGUAGGCAUAAAACCAACUGUAGAAAGGUAUUAGAGCUACAUCUAAGUACCCAAAGUUUUCACCUCCAAAGUAAGGCUUGUCUCCAAGUUCUCCUUCCAAAAUUUUGUAGGUCUCUAUGAAUUCCAUCUUGGCUGCCUCCAGCUCUUCUCCCUUUGUAGCCCAAGUUUUUCUUCCUACAGUAACAACCUGCGUCAAACAGUUCAAAAUUUAAUUUAAUAACACCAGCAGUAAUAGAUGUUAAUUGUUUAGAGCAUAACAUUAUCUAUUUGAAACGAAAGUGACGGAUUGCUAUCUUUUGCAGUUUUUGUAGAAAAAUAUAUUAUAGCGAUUUGAUAUAUAUAUGGUAAAAAGAUAAUUGAAAAAUGUAAAAAUUUUUUGAAAAAAAAUGAUAAUCCAAACAAGGUUAAGUCAAACAAUAAAAACACAGAAACAAAUUAAAUCUACAUUGAAGCUCACAAAAAAUAUUGGAAAAAUCGUUCAAAACGUCUCUCACAUUUUGUAAAAUGACUUUUUUCGUCCCUUACUUUUAAAAGUGUAUUUUUACGUCUCUUACAAAUUCACAUUGGUCAAAUUUGGUCCUUAUCUAGGUUUUCGACUAGUUUUUGGCCGGAAUUCAUCACAUGCCUUGCAUGUGAUCAUUUUUUAGGGGCAAAAUUAUCAAAUCAAAAUUUACAUAAUCCAUCUAUAGUCCCUUACAUUUCACAAAAUGAAUUGUUUCGUCCCUUACAUUUUACAGCAUGUGAUCAUUUUUUAGGGGCAAAAUUAUCAAAUCAAAAUUUACAUAAUCCAUCUAUAGUCCCUUACAUUUCACAAAAUGAAUUGUUUCGUCCCUUACAUUUUACAAAAUAAAUUUUUUCAUCCCUCAGAUUUCUCAAAAUGAAUUUUUUUAUCUCUCAUUGACCACAUGUACGAAUAAUUUUUAUUUUUUUAAAUUCAUGAAUAUAUCUAUUUGAUUCCAUCUAAAUAGUACAAGUAAUAUGUAAUAUAUCUCUAUUUGAUUUCACCUAAACAGAUCGAUAUAUACAUGGGUUUAAAUCUAAUAAUUUUGUUUUAAACCUAUAUAUAUAUAUAUAUAUAUAUAUAUAUAUAUAUAUAUAUAUAUAUAUGAUUUCACCAUGUGAAUCUAUUCAAUAUUUGUAAUCUUUUCUAUUUUAGUAAUAAUUCAUUUAUUGAGUUGUUUAAUAAGAGUAUCUAAUUAAUCGGUGUUAAUUCGAAUUCCAUAGUCAUGUUAUCAAAUUGCAGUUUAAAUUUGAAAUUUUUAUUCGCUACCUUUAAGACCAAUAGUUGAAUUUCUUACCUUAUGAUUAUUUUAAAAUUUGAAAGUGUCAAUUACUUACUUCUUUUUGUUAUACUUUUCCUUUGUUUAUUUUUUCUGUCUAAAUUUAAUUCGAUAUAAACACUUGAUAAUGUUUAGAAUUAAAUGUUUUCUUUGUUUUCAAUUUCGAGUAAAAGGAAUGAACAUGAGUAAAAAACUAAUAAUUUUUUUAAACCCCUGUAUAUAUCUAUUUUAAUUUCACAUAAAUAGUAUGUUUAGGCGAAAAUUAAAUAGAGAUAUAUUACAUGCUAUUCGUAUUGUCCAUGUGAGAUCAAAUAGAUAUACAAAUUAGUUUUAAAAAAAGUUAUUCAUACACAUGAACAAUGAAAAAUGAAAAUUUUUAUUUUGUAAAAUAUGGGGGAUGAAAAAAUUCAUUUUGUGAAAUGUGAGGGACGAAACAAUUCACUUUGUGAAAUGUGAGGGAUAAAAAAAAUUCAUUUUAUAAAAUGUGAGAGACUAUAAAUUAAAUUAUAUAAAUUUUGAUUUGACAAUUUUGCUCUUAAAAAUGAUCACAUGCAAGGCACGUAGUGGAUUCCUACAAAAAACUAGUCGGAAACCUAGAUAGGGAUUAAAUUUAAUCAAUAUGAAUUUGUAAGGGACGUAAAAGUACACUUUUAAAAGUAAGGGACGAAAAAAAUCAUUUUACAAAAUGUGAGGGACGUUUUGAACGAUUUUCCCAAAAAUAUUUAUGAGUGAGCAAUAAUAAAUUGACCUUGGUACCUUUUUAUCAACAAAGUCAGCCCAAAACCAAUGUUUUGAAAAUCGGACAGGAUCGGCCAGUUCGAUCGGUUAAACCACGAACCGGUUAUGCCUUCGAUCCGAUUCAAUUAGAAACCCAAAGAAUUGAUUGAAUUGGUCAAAAUAGAUCAAGAACUGGUUGAACCGGUCAAAAUCGAGAGGUUCAACCGAUUUUUAUUAAGUAUUUAUUUUUUAAAAUAAAUAUUUUAGUUUAUUCAAAAUUGUUAAUACUAAAAUGAAUAAAAAAAUUAUUAAAUCUUUGAACCGGAAUCGAACCGAUUGAACAAGUCAAGCUAUGAACUAAAAGAUUUUCCGAUUCACUUUCCGGUCCGGGUUUAAAAACAUUGCCCGGAACCUGGCUUGAGCUUUCCUGAAGGGGUCAGAUGGCAAGCAAGGAUUUUUAUCACGCCAUACUUCAUCUAUAUACUGAACAAUAAUUAUCGACAGAAAGCCCGGAAUUCAUAGCACGAAUUGCACCUAUCAUGGAUGCAAUUUUCUUGUGUUAUUACAUCAAAUAGUUCUUCUAGGAAAUUCUCAUCUUGAUUACACGUCUUCUUCUUGAUAACUACUGUUUGAUGAAUCGACAAAAUGUCAAUUUUCAAGUCGGAAGUUUAUGAAAUGCAUCUAACUAGUUCCGGUCGAGACGAAAUGCUUUCAUUUUACAUACAUCUCUCAGCAACAGAUAAUAUGAAACAAGUUUAGAAUUUGAUCCUAAUCGGUCUAAUAAAUCUCUCUCUCUCUCUCUCUCUCUGUGGAAAAAGGAAGAGACGAAGACUUUGACUUCGAGUCAAUGUUAUCAAAGGCCAAAGAAAUGAGAAUGUGGCAUGUUAGAAUUUAAUGAAUUGCGAAAAUUUCUUUCUUCCAUUAAAACUUCCAUGCCCGUUACGUCCAAUUUGGAUACAGGCCAUACAUAAUACAUGAAAGUGAAGUUUGCCUAGCUAAUUCAGAGUUGACCAAUUAUUUGGUUUGACUGAUUCUAGUCUUUCCCUCAAAGCCAAGCCAUGACCAGAACUAUUUUGAAUAAUCAUCCUUUUUGGUUUUGUUCACAACUCAUUUUCUGUUACCGUGUUUUGUUGGUUUAAGCCGUGUUUCCACAGAGUGAUUGACCUGCGGUGCAGAAGACUGAUCAAGUCAUCAAGUUAGAUUCUAACUUUUCUAUGCAUCUUCCUUCAUACCCUUUCUGUAAAAGGGGUGCUCAAUUUGUAGCUCAUCAAGUAGUACUGGAAUAUUGCUUGUUUCAUUAUCCAUGGCUGGUGAAAAACAACAAUUCUGAAUUCACGGCCACUAUGUUUGUUAUUGGGCUGCUGUUACUUGCAACAUUUGAUUAUACAGGUUUUCCUCUCUAUCCUGAAUUACAAUGCAAUGUAGCCUCUAAAAUCUAAAAUCUUGAUAUGCAGAGUGUUUGCAGAAUUAUAGAUCAAAAGUUUUGUAAAUGGCAUAUGAAAAGCCUAAAAUCAGACCUGGUGACACUAGCAAUUACUGGGGCUGGUAAGCCAUACUGUAGUCAGUUGUCAAAUGACUUUCACCAAUUAAUAAGUAAGUGGUUUCUCUACUUGUUCAGAAAAAGAGGGGAAAUGUGGAGGUAUUCAUUAUCAGUUUAUCCUACAAAAUGAAUGUAAAGCUUUGUUACAUAAUCAGCCCUGGUUUGCAGAAUGAGCUUAAUCAGGUCAAUCAAAUCAUUGUGCAUAUGAAAUUUGAUGCAGGGGCUCAAACAGGAGUUUGUUAUGGAAGGCUUGGGAGCGGACUUCCAUCUCCCGCAGAUGUUGUAGCCCUUUGCAAACAGAACAACAUCAAAAGAAUGCGAAUUUACGAUCCUGAUCAAUCCACACUUCAAGCCCUAGCAGGUUCAAAUAUUGAAGUCAUUCUUGGGGUUCCCAACACUGAUCUUCAGAAUGUUGCUGCAAGCCAAGAUAAUGCAAAUAAUUGGGUCAAAAACAAUGUCAUCAAUUAUCCUAAUGUCAAAUUCAGGUACAUUGCAGUUGGAAAUGAAAUCAGCCCACUAAAAUGCAUGGCUGGGUGCCCAGACUUUGUUCUCCCUGCCAUCCGAAACAUCUUCAACGCAAUUUCUGCAGCUGGGCUAGGAAACCAGAUCAAAGUUUCCACUGCUGUUGAAACUGGACUAAUUGGAAUUAGUUUUCCUCCAUCAGCUGGCACUUUCCAACCUCAAGUCCAAAUGUUUAUCAAUCCCAUAGUUCAGUUCUUAGCUAGCAAAGGCGCCCCAUUACUCGUUAACGUGCAUCUGUACUAUGUCUACAUAAACAAUCCCGAGAGCGUAGCUCUUGACUUUGCUCUUUUUACUGCUUCGGGCAUUACCCUACCAGAUGGUGUAAAGUAUCAAAAUCUUUUUGAUGUUAUCUUGGAUGCAAUAUACUCGGCCAUCGAAGGGGUCGGAGGGUCAUCUGUCGAAAUUGUUGUAUCAGAGACAGGCUGGCCAUCAGAUGGAGGAGGACAAGCUACAUCAAUUCACAAUGCCAGGACUUACAACAAUAACCUGAUUAAGCAUGUCAAUGGGAGUUCUGGAACCCCAAGAAGGCCUGGAAAAGCAAUUGAAACUUACAUUUUUAAUUUGUUUGAUGAAGAUCAAAAGAUUCCAGAAUAUGAGAAUCACUUUGGGAUCUUUCUUCCAAAUAAGAAGGGAAAGUACCCAAUCAGUUUCUAACUGGAUUGAGGAUUCAAGUGUAUAAAAGGAAUAAGGAUCGAUAGACUUCAUGUGUUGUCUUAAUUUAGCAAGCAUAGGUACAUUAUGUAAAUUGCUUGGAAUUAGAUUAACUUAGACCAUCGUAACCAAAUAAAUACAGCUACCUAAGUUUCUCUUUUCUUUUUUUUUUUUCCCAGGUUAGAGCUAUCUUAAUUUAGCAAGCAAAUGAGAAAAAAUUUGAUUUUGGCUCGUAGUAUCACCAAGCAUAUUUUAGUUCUGCGUGCUCCAAUCAGCUUAAUUAGUCUACCAUAUUUUCAACUAAUCUUUGCAUGUGACCUGCAGAUUUAGCAAAACAACAAAUUAGAACUUAAUUAGGAUUAAUCGAUUAUCAAUAGUAAAAGUAACAAAUAGCAUGAUCAUAAUCAAAUAAUGUUUAGUUAAAUAUGAAGAGUGAAAAUUUGAAAAUUUACAAUGAUACUGUUGUUUGGUAUUGCUUGUAAAUACUAUUAAGUAUUUGUAAGUUCUAGUUUAUUUAUACUCGUUUAAAUAGUAAAAGUACUAGAUUAUAUACGCCUUUAUUUUUCAUUUUUAUUUUCGGAUUUUUCUGUAUCAUGUGGUAAUGAGCCGAUUUUUUUUUUUUCCUCCUAACGUACUUACUUUGUACCAUCAACAAUGACAAUAGCAUAAUGGUAAUUUUCUACGGUACACUUUUAUUCUAUUUGUUCAAAUCCUCAUAUAAGAAAUUAUCAAAGUUAAUAUAAUGUUGUCGUUAAGAGCCAAGAAAAAAACUUAAAAAAAAAAUAUUGAUGGCAGCAAAAUUAUUAGAAAGAGUUAAUCGGGGAAACACACAACAUCUUUAGCCAAGUCAGACGGAUAAUGGUCACAUGAAGUGUUCAACUUCUGGAUGGCAAUGAGAAUGUUAUCGUUUUCAACUAAACAAAGUUAUCAAAGUCUGCAAAACUGCCAUACUCCACAACCUUCCUAGACUUGUGUUUUCCACAAAACAUAAUUCACUAAUUCAUGAAAUAAUGAAUUAAGUAUGACUUUUCACACUAUCAAAACUAAUUGUUUUCAAUAAUAACCCGCACCACUCGUGAGAUUUAACUUCAACACGUACAUAUUCUUACUGCUUAAAGGACUUUAGGAGUGGCUUAGCCUUAACUUAAUUCUUGGAUUCAUACAUGGAUUCAUACAUGUUUGGCAUGUAGUGAUAAAGACCUCUGGACUAGGAAAUCCUUAAAAGUGUGAAGGCUUCCAUAGUUUCUGUCGAUAUCUAUGUUUAACUGCUACUUUCGUAUAGAAUAUUCGCAUCCCAUAUUGACAUUUCAAUUGCCGUAAGCCUGGAAUUUAUAGAAUGAAUUGCGCCUGUCAGGGAUGCAAUUUUCUUGUGUUAUACAUCAAAUAGUUCUUCUAGGAAAAUCUCAUCUUGAUUACAUGUCUUCUUCUUGAUAACUACUGUUUGAUGAGUCGACAAAAUGGCAAUUUUCAAGUUGGAAGUUUAUGAAAUGCACCCAACUUGUUCCGGUCUAGAUGAAAUGCUUUCAUUUUACAUACGUCUCUCAGCAACAGAUACUAUGAAACAAGUUUAGAAUUGGUCCCAAUCGAUCUAAUAAAUCUCUCAUUUCCUCUCCCUGUGGAUAAAGAAGAGACGAAGACUUUGACUAGGAAUCAACGAGUGUGUUUGGAUAGAGUAUUAUUUUAAAUAAUUCCAGUAGCACUUUUUGUGAUGUCACGUAUACGAGAUAAAAAGGUGAUUGAAAAAAAAAAAGUGGAUUAGAGAAUGUGUUUAUUAUGCAAGUAAAAUAUUAUUUAAAAAAAUUUGCUAUCCAAAAUGUUGUCAAAGGCCAAACAAAUGAGAAUAUGGUGUAUUAGAAUUUAAUGAGAAGAAAAUUUCUGUCUUCCAUUAAAACUUCCUUGCCAGUUAGGUCCAAUGUGGAUAUGGUCCAUACAAUGAGAGUGAAGUUUACCUAACUAAUUUAGAGAUAACUAAACCAACUUUUGGGUUUGACUGAUUCUAGUCUUUCAUCUAAAGCCAAGCCAUGACUAGAUGGUUUUGUUCACAACUCAUUCUCUGUUUUCAUAUUCUGUAAUGUUACUGCAAACAUUCUUCCAGAGAUGGCACCUAAUUUUGUACUUAGUCAGAAAAAGAGGUUAUUCAUCUACUAUUGACAUGUAAUAAUAUUUCAAUGAUCAAUCCACCUUAUUCUUUACUUGAGCAGUAAUUGUUCUAGCUCCUCUUAGCCAAUCUGGUUAAUAUUCCUCCACUAAACAAUAAUUGCAGAAAUAACCAUCUAUUGAGUUGGUAGCCACCACAAAGGCCUUAAGUGUUUUUGUGGGGUGAGAAGUCAAAAGUUUCGAAUCUUGUCUCCUAUCAAAUGAUAUUUAACAUAUGACUUCUUCUAAAUCUAGCAGGUGCUUAACGCACCCGUCUGAUUUGAUGGUAAUUCAGUUCCAAUUGAUCCAUAGGAUCUAGUUGAACCUGUCUCUCUUCACUCCAAAAAAAAAAACCAUUAAUUGCAGAAAUGAAAAGUAAGAGUUGCACAUGAAAAAGUCACGAGCUAUAUAGUUUAAUUCCUCUCUAGUAAGGACUCAUAGCCAUGGCUCCAUUAGAUGCAAUUCAGUCCUCAGGAACUGGAAGUUGUUAUACGGUGGCAACCACGUUGCAGGCCCUCUAACCAAAAGUUCUACCAUGUAACAAGUCAUACCCUUUGCACACCAAGUCUUGGAAACCAAAAUAGGAAGAAACUACAUGUAAUUGGACGUGCAGAGUUUCUUGUGAAGGAGUACUUCUGUUUAGCAUAUGCUGCUGCAAUUAUGGUCUAAGACCAUAUUUCCAGUAAAAUAAGCUGAUUUUCAAAGUGCAUUAAAACAUUAGGGCGGCAUAUAAGAUUAUUAGUGAUUGAUUGAGGAAGUCAUUCUCAUCAAGGACAUAGAAAAAUGUUUGAAAAUUCAAAAUUUAACACCUGGGCAGGCGAAUGACGUGCUCUAGAAAUUAGCCACCCUGCAACAGCGAUGUUUCCACAGAGUGAUUGUCCUGAAGUGCAGUAGACUUGUCAAGUCAUCAAGAUUUUAGAUCCUGACUUUUACUUUUCUAUGCAUCUUCCUUCAUUUCCUCUCAAUAAAAGGGGUGCUUAAUUUGCAGUUCAUCAAGUAGUAUUAAGUAGUACUGGAAUAUUGCUCGUUUCAUUAUCCAUGGCUGGCGCAGAACAACAAUUCAAGGCCGCUAUGUUUGUUAUUGGGCUGCUGCUACUUGCGACACUUGAUUAUACAGGUUUUCCUCUCUAUCCUGAAGUACAAAGCAAUGUAGCGUCUAAAAUCUAAAAUCUUAAUAUGCAGAAUGUUUGCAGAAUUAUAGAUCAAAAGUUUUGUGAAUGGCAUAUGAAAGUCUAAAACCAGACCCGGCAACAUUAUCGAUUACUAGGGCUGCUAAGCCAUACUUUAAUCAGAUAUUAAAUGACUUUAACUUAUUAAUAAGUGCUUUCUUUGCUUGUUCGAAAAAUGGGGAAACUGUGGAACUUUUCAUUAUCAGUUUAUCCUACAAAAUGAAUGUAAACCUUUCUUACUAAAUCAGCCCUGGUUUGCAGACUGAACUAAAUCAGGUCAAUCUAAUCAUUGUGCAUAUGAAAUUUGAUGCAGGGGCUCAAACAGGCGUUUGCUAUGGAAGGCUUGGGAGUAAUCUUCCAUCUCCAGCAGAUGUUGUAGCCCUUUGCAACCAGAACAACAUCAAAAGAAUGCGAAUCUACGAUCCUGAUCAAUCCACUCUUCAAGCCCUAGGAGGUUCAAAUAUUGAAGUCAUUCUUGGGGUUCCCAACACUGAUCUUCAGAACGUUGCUGCAAGCCAAGAUAAUGCAAAUACUUGGGUUCAAAACAAUGUAAGGAAUUAUCCCAAUGUCAAAUUCAGGUACAUCGCAGUUGGAAAUGAAGUCAGCCCAAUAAAGGGCGACACAGCUCAAUACGCAAACUUUCUUCUCCCUGCCAUCCAAAACAUCUUCAACGCAAUUUCUGCGGCAGGGCUAGGCAUCAAAGUUUCCACUGCUGUUGAAACUGAACUAGUUGGAAAUAAUUUUCCUCCAUCAGGUGGCACUUUCAAACCUGAAGUCCAGAAUUUUAUCAAUCCCAUUGUUCAGUUCUUAGCUAGCAAGGGCGCCCCAUUACUCGUUAACGUGUAUCCAUACUUUGCCUACAUAUUCAAUUCCCAGAGCAUAGCUCUUGAAUAUGCUCUUUUUACAUCUUCGGGCAUUACCACACCAGAUGGUGUGAAGUAUCAAAAUCUUCUUGAUGCUCUCUUGGAUGCAACAUACUCAGCGCUCGAAAGGGCCGGAGGCCAAUCUGUCGAAAUUGUUGUAUCAGAAACCGGUUGGCCAUCAGAUGGAGGAGGACAAGCGACAUCAAUAGACAAUGCCAGGACUUACAACACUAACCUGAUUGGGCAUGUCAAUGGGAAUUCUGGAACCCCAAAAAGGCCUGGAAGAGCUAUUGAGACUUACAUUUUUGAUUUGUUUGAUGAAGAUCAAAAGAGUCCAGACUAUGAGAAGCAUUUUGGGCUCUUUCUUCCAAAUAGGCAGCCAAAGUACCCAAUCAGCUUCUAACUAGAUUGAGAAAUUAUCUAGUGUAUAACAAGAAUAAGAAUAAGAAUCCAUAGGCUCCACAUGUUAUCCCUUGCUUAUAU
rnacentral:lncRNA from 1 species